GGGUUGUGAGGUUAAGCGACUAAGCGUACACGGUGGAUGCCCUGGCAGUCAGAGGCGAUGAAGGACGUGCUAAUCUGCGAUAAGCGUCGGUAAGGUGAUAUGAACCGUUAUAACCGGCGAUUUCCGAAUGGGGAAACCCAGUGUGAUUCGUCACACUAUCAUUAACUGAAUCCAUAGGUUAAUGAGGCGAACCGGGGGAACUGAAACAUCUAAGUACCCCGAGGAAAAGAAAUCAA
rnacentral:rRNA from 2 species